GGAGUUUUCAAAUGCGGCUCCUGCAAGGCCUGCAAAUUUAUUAAUACAUCCAAAACUGUAUUUUGUACCAGAACCAAAAACAGUUACCCAGUACGUGACUUCAUUAAUUGCAGCACUACAAAAAUAGUAUAUGUCAUUACCUGGAGUUGUAAUCUAGCGUACUUUGGUAAAACUUACCAACAAUUUCGUAGACGCAUAUUACAACACGUCAAUUCACUACCAAAAUAU